rnacentral:rRNA from 1 species
GACGAACGCUGGCGGCGUGCUUAACACAUGCAAGUCGAACGGAAAGGCCCUGCUUUUGUGGGGUGCUCGAGUGGCGAACGGGUGGGUAACACGUGAGUAACCUGCCCUUGACUUUGGGAUAACUUCAGGAAACUGGGGCUAAUACCGGAUAGGAGCUCCUGCUGCAUGGUGGGGGUUGGAAAGUUUCGGCGGUUGGGGAUGGACUCGCGGCUUAUCAGCUUGUUGGUGGGGUAGUGGCUUACCAAGGCUUUGACGGGUAGCCGGCCUGAGAGGGUGACCGGCCACAUUGGGACUGAGAUACGGCCCAGACUCCUACGAGAGGCAGCAGUGGGGAAUAUUGCACAAUGGGCGGAAGCCUGAUGCAGCAACGCCGCGUGCGGGAUGACGGCCUUCGGGUUGUAAACCGCUUUCGCCUGUGACGAAGCGUGAGUGACGGUAAUGGGUAAAGAAGCACCGGCUAACUACGUGCCAGCAGCCGCGGUGAUACGUAGGGUGCGAGCGUUGUCCGGAUUUAUUGGGCGUAAAGGGCUCGUAGGUGGUUGAUCGCGUCGGAAGUGUAAUCUUGGGGCUUAACCCUGAGCGUGCUUUCGAUACGGGUUGACUUGAGGAAGGUAGGGGAGAAUGGAAUUCCUGGUGGAGCGGUGGAAUGCGCAGAUAUCAGGAGGAACACCAGUGGCGAAGGCGGUUCUCUGGGCCUUUCCUGACGCUGAGGAGCGAAAGCGUGGGGAGCGAACAGGCUUAGAUACCCUGGUAGUCCACGCUGUAAACGGUGGGUACUAGGUGUGGGGUCCAUUCCACGGGUUCCGUGCCGUAGCUAACGCUUUAAGUACCCCGCCUGGGGAGUACGGCCGCAAGGCUAAAACUCAAAGGAAUUGACGGGGCCCCGCACAAGCGGCGGAGCAUGCGGAUUAAUUCGAUGCAACGCGUAGAACCUUACCUGGGUUUGACAUGGAUCGGGAGUGCUCAGAGAUGGGUGUGCCUCUUUUGGGGUCGGUUCACAGGUGGUGCAUGGCUGUCGUCAGCUCGUGUCGUGAGAUGUUGGGUUAAGUCCCGCAACGAGCGCAACCCUUGUUCACUGUUGCCAGCACGUUAUGGUGGGGACUCAGUGGAGACCGCCGGGGUCAACUCGGAGGAAGGUGGGGAUGACGUCAAGUCAUCAUGCCCCUUAUGUCCAGGGCUUCACGCAUGCUACAAUGGCUGGUACAGAGAGUGGCGAGCCUGUGAGGGUGAGCGAAUCUCGGAAAGCCGGUCUCAGUUCGGAUUGGGGUCUGCAACUCGACCUCAUGAAGUCGGAGUCGCUAGUAAUCGCAGAUCAGCAACGCUGCGGUGAAUACGUUCCCGGG